rnacentral:rRNA from 1 species
UACGUAGGUGGCAAGCGUUGUCCGGAAUUAUUGGGCGUAAAGAGCUCGUAGGCGGUUCAGUAAGUCGGGUGUGAAAGCUCCAAGCUCAACUUGGAGACGCCAUCCGAUACUGCUGUGACUUGAGUACAGUAGGGGAGCGCGGAAUUCCUGGUGUAGCGGUGAAAUGCGCAGAUAUCAGGAGGAACACCAGCGGCGAAGGCGGCGCUCUGGGCUGUAACUGACGCUGAGGAGCGAAAGUGUGGGUAGCAAACAGGAUUA